CGAGAUAGAGAGAAAAGAAAGACCCCGUGGGGUUUCUCAUGAAACAAGCUCGAAGGAGCAAGACGAUGAUAACAAUAAUUUUCUACCGCAAAAUUAAAAUCGACAUCAUAAUGGCGGAGCAUCAUGAGGUUGUGCUGCAGAAGUACUUUAUGACGCCAAGUGACUGCUUCGACUCCACGUGGAGAAGGGCGGGAGAGGGAGUAUGAUAUAUAUAUUUAUUGGACGACAAGAUCGGCUGCAAUCUUGGUUUCUUGACGAUUGGUUUGGACGCGGCAGUCGGCUUGUCAGAAGAAUCACGCAGGGCUGCACAACAACGCACAGUUUCCACACAGUUAUUUGAUUUUCUACAUGCCGGUUUGUGGCUCCCAGUUCUUUACAGCUGGAAGCGGUCACUAGGUCACUUACUGCGGAGAUUAGUGCUUGGUGAGCAUGAUUGUUCGACUGUGGCAUACUGGGAGGGCGUUCUUCCUACGACACAUGCUCUGGGGGUACCAGCAAUGGAAUCGUAUGGUAAAUAUCCUUUUUUAAUUUAAUGUAAUUUAAUUGAAUUAAGAUGUGUUUGUAGGUGUGAACUCCAUGAUUUAGCUUGGAUUUCGACUCUCUAGCCCCACAAACAGUGAUAUACGCUGCAUCGGUGGUUGUUGGUAUCCUCCUUUGAUUCAGUGUCUCCUCGAGUUCCAUCUCAUGUGUGUGCUAAUUGGUCAAAUCCCUAAUUUGAUGGGUCCACAUUAUUGCCAUAAAAUAACAGGGAAAUGUAAGCAGGGUUUAGUGCAGCAGCGUUAGCACUGAAUGAGUUGCGACGUGCCAUGCCAGAUUGUAUGGCUCCUGUGUUUACAUCCCCCCUCGGGGAGACAUGCUUUUUUUCUUUCCACAAAGGAAUCUCCAGCAAGGUCGCAAUGGUCGUCCGAGUCGGACGCUGACAUCUGCGGACGAAACUGCUGGACUUAUUCAAUCUGCACCAGCUGAACCAAAAGAAUCACAUACCCCCCUCCCCAAUUAAAAUAACCAAGCUGUGAAGGCAGCAUGCAGCAGCAGCAGCAUCACCAAACGCAAGCAGGAUCCUCUCAGCUACCCCUCCCGGGAACGAUGCGAUUCUCUGGGUGACGAUAAUGACGCGCAUGAUAAAAAAAAAACUAACGCCAAUCUGCGCCGACUAUGACGACUUCCGCUGCCAAGACCACUCCUAGCAACAACAACAAAAUUCCUCCAUAAACACUGAUAUAACAGUUCCAACGCAACGCGAUUCUCAACUCGUCUGGACCCGUACCAGAGGUCUCCAUCUCCAAAUCGUGAAACCCAAAAGUCGCAAAAUGUUGGAUCUGGCGAUCACAAGUCGCUGGCAUCAAGUCAAAUCCCGUACCAGUUCGUCAGCUUUUGAUCUCGGUGUCCAUGGAACUACUCUCUUCACCCUUCUUAAAUAAAAUUACUCCCCACUUUGGAUGUCACUGCAAUAUAAUUCUACUGAUGCGUGCAGUGAGAUGUGAGAGUUUGCAGUGUAUAAAGAUUCGAUCAGCAAUUUUUUUUUUCCUAUUCCUCAAUGGCGAUCCAUCAUCGAAGGCAUAUCGAUGUGGUUGCAGAUGUGCACAUCGACAAGUCUAGACAAUGUCUACAAGUCGUAUCACCCUCGGGAGCUUGUGUGCACCAUUUUCCUUAAUUGUUUUUGUGUGUAGGAGUUUGAUUAUCUCGGUGAUGUGUAUGGUUUUUUAAGCAAUCUGUCACUGAUUUUGAAUACCCAGUUUGUCAGGCUUUGGUGAUCUUGUUGUGAAGGUAACACCCACGUAUGCCAAGAAGUUCAGAUGGGUGAUUCAAUACUACUACAGUGUUUUCGAGUGAAAAUAAAAUACUGGGAUACAUACAAAAUGAACAGUUGUAGAUUCAGGUAUGAUUUUUUUUGCUGUUUGGAUUCAGAUAUGCUUUUACUGUUUUUGUUUUUUAUGAAAUUUAUUAGGAUUGUACUGUUAGCGAGCUUCGACUUGAGUGAAAGAAUAGCACAUGGAAUUAGAAGACUGUGAAGG